rnacentral:rRNA from 1 species
UAAGGAGUCUUCCACAAUGGGCGCAAGCCUGAUGGAGCAACACCGCGUGAGUGAAGAAGGGUUUCGGCUCGUAAAGCUCUGUUGUUAAAGAAGAACACGUAUGAGAGUAACUGUUCAUACGUUGACGGUAUUUAACCAGAAAGUCACGGCUAACUACGUGCCAG